UACGGAAGGCAGCAGUGGGGAAUAUUGCACAAUGGGCGCAAGCCUGAUGCAGCCAUGCCGCGUGUAUGAAAAAGGCCUUCGGGUUGUAAAGUACUUUCAGUCGUGAGGAAGGUGUUAAGGUUAAUAACCUUAGCAAUUGACGUUAGCGACAGAAGAAGCACCGGCUAACUCCGUGCCAGCAGCCGCGGUAAUACGGAGGGUGCGAGCGUUAAUCGGAAUUACUGGGCGUAAAGGGCACGCAGGCGGUUAAUUAAGUUGGAUGUGAAAUCCCCGGGCUUAACCUGGGAAUGGCAUUCAAGCUGGUUAGCUAGAGUCUUGUAGAGGGGGUAGAAUUCCAUGUGUAGCGGUGAAAUGCGUAGAGAUGUGGAGGAAUACCGGUGGCGAAGGCGGCCCCUGGGACAAAGGACUGACGCUCAUGUGCGAAAGCGUGGGGAGCAAAC
rnacentral:rRNA from 1 species